GGCGAAUAGCUCAGUAACACGUGGCCAAACUACCCUUCGGAGCUCCAUACCCUCGGGAAACUGAGGCUAAUAGAGCAUACCACAAUCCAGCUGGAAUGAGGAUUGUGUCAAACGCUCCGGCGCCGAAGGAUGUGGCUGCGGCCGAUUAGGUAGACGGUGGGGUAACGGCCCACCGUGCCAAUAAUCGGUACGGGUCAUGAGAGUGAGAACCCGGAGACGGAAUCUGAGACAAGAUUCCGGGCCCUACGGGGCGCAGCAGGCGCGAAACCUUUACACUGCACGCCAGUGCGAUAAGGGGAUCCCAAGUGCGCAGGCAUAGAGCCUGCGCUUUUGUACACCGUAGGGAGGUGUACGAAUAAGGGCUGGGCAAGACCGGUGCCAGCCGCCGCGGUAAUACCGGCAGCCCGAGUGAUGGCCGAUUUUAUUGGGCCUAAAGCGUCCGUAGCUGGCCGCGCAAGUCCAUCGGAAAAUCCACCCGCCCAACGGGUGGGCGUCCGGUGGAAACUGCGUGGCUUGGGACCGGAAGGCGCGACGGGUACGUCCGGGGUAGGAGUGAAAUCCCGUAAUCCUGGACGGACCGCCGAUGGCGAAAGCACGUCGCGAGGACGGAUCCGACAGUGAGGGACGAAAGCCAGGGUCUCGAACCGGAUUAGAUACCCGGGUAGUCCUGGCCGUAAACAAUGUCUGUUAGGUGUGGCUCCCACUACGAGUGGGUGCUGUGCCGUAAGGAAGCCGCUAAACAGACCG
rnacentral:rRNA from 1 species